rnacentral:piRNA from 1 species
UCUCUAAGUGAAAAAAUUACUCUUAGAACC